CUCAAGCAGUCCCCUGGUAAGGACCUCAUGAAGAGGAACUGAGGUCUCCCGCCAGCAGCUACAGCCAACUUGCCAGCCAUGUCAGAUGACACUUUCACAAAGAAGUUUCCCUGAGGGCUCGCCUUUGUUUCAGAAAACUGAAAGCACUGGAUGUAUUUCAAAAUGAUUGCCCUUUCCCUCCCCUUGCCAGAAGCAAGAGGGCGUUUUUUUCUCUGAUCUUCACUGUGAGAACCUCAAGUGGCUUCUGAAGUCUGGAACCUACAUGAAAGGUGGGGACCUGUGGACAUCGCUGCUGCACUCAGAGCUAACAAUCUACAACAGUGCUGUUCGACGGAACUCUGCAAUGGUAGGAAUCUGUAAUCUG